CAUCAUUAUCCUAGUUUGAACGAUAUGAUGAUGAGUCACAAAGAGCUAUGCCCCAGGGGCCCCAGAUCCCUAUCUCUUCUUGUUAUAACCUCGUCUUUAGUAUGAAUCCAAGUCAACUAUUUUGAAGGCACACUAUCGCAGAUCAUCCCUUUUACCCAGACAACGUGCCUGUUUGAAACCGAGGAUCAUGCAUCUGCGAGCUAUCGUUGUCGUCGUGAUUCUGAGUGUUGCAGUUGCUGCAGCAGAGACUCCAACCUACAGGACGGAUCCAGAUUGUGGAAAAUGGCCGCCAAAAUACGACAGGUUAAACGAAUUUCUUCAGGACAAUAUCAAUCCUAUUGAUCCUAACUGUAAGGACAGGAAACCGAGACGUAACAAUAAACCACUGAGGUAUUACCCCAAACGACCCUACUACAGGAAGGGCUACAAGUAUGACACCCCUCUCCUGAAGGCAGCUGGUCCUCCAAGCUCAUGGUGAUCAGGAGGAAGGACUCAGCAGUCUUUGUCAUUAUCUAUCUGACACUUUUAGAGCGGAAUAAAUGUCAAAUGUGAAAAA